AGAGUUUGAUCCUGGCUCAGGAUGAACGCUGGCGGCGUGCCUAAUACAUGCAAGUCGAACGCGAACCUUCGGGUUCGAGUGGCGAACGGGUGAGUAACACAUGGGUAACCUGCCCUUAAGACGAGGAUAACCGUUGGAAACGACGGCUAAGACUGGAUAGGAGCAGAGGAGGCAUCUCUUCUGCUUUAAAAGACCUUCGGGUAUGCUUAAGGAGGGACCUGUGGCGCAUUAGUUAGUUGGUAGGGUAGCGGCCUACCAAGACGAUGAUGCGUAGCCGGACUGAGAGGUUGGACGGCCACAUUGGGACUGAGACACGGCCCAAACUCCUACGGGAGGCAGCAGUAGGGAAUUUUCGGCAAUGGGGGAAACCCUGACCGAGCAACGCCGCGUGAAUGAAGACGUACUUCGGUAUGUAAAGUUCUUUUAUCAAGGAAGAAUGUCGGAUGGUGAACCAUUCGAGUGACGGUACUUGAUGAAUAAGCCCCGGCUAACUAUGUGCCAGCAGCCGCGGUAAUACAUAGGGGGCAAGCGUUAUCCGGAAUCAUUGGGCGUAAAGGGUGCGUAGGCGGCCGUUUAAGUCUUUGGUGUAAGUGCAGUGCUUAACGCUGUGAUGCUAAAGAAACUGGGCGGCUUGAGUGUGGUAGAGGCAAGUGGAAUUCCAUGUGUAGCGGUA
rnacentral:rRNA from 1 species